CGAAAGAUUGAUCUAGUCACUUAUUAGGAUGAUUUUUAAAAUAUAUUAAAUAUAUAUUUAUAUAUAUAAUAAUAUUAUAUAUAUAUAAUAUAUAAAUAAAAUUAAUAUAUAAAAAAAUUGAUUAAAAAUAAAAUCCAUAUAUAAUUUAAAUAAUGAUAUAAAUUCCCUUAAUAUUUAAUUAUUUUUUUUUUCUUAAAAAAAAAGAAUGAAUAAAUUAAUAGGAUUAUUAAUAAUAUUUAUUUAUUAAUUAAUAAUUAUAAUAGUCUUAACAAAUAAUUGUGCCAGCAGUUGCGGUCAUACAAUGAAGGCUAGCAUUAAUCAUAAUGGUUUAAAGAAUCCGUAGAAUUAAAAAAAAAGUAAUAUUUUAUUAUUUUACUUAUUUUAUUUAUUAAAAAAGGGUAAAUAAAUAAGCUUUUAGAGUUAAUAAAUUAAUUAAAGAAUUAUUAUAGUAAAGAUGAAAUUAUAUUGAUAAUAAUAAGACUGAUAUAUUGUGAAAAUAUUAAUUAAUAAUUAACUGACAUUGAGGGAUGAAAUCUAAAGUAGCGAAACAGAUUCGAUACCUGUGUAGUUUUAGAUGUAAACAAUGAAUACGAUUAUAAUUAUAAAUAAAUAAAAAAUAAUUAUAAUAUAUGAAAAUAAGAGUAUUCCACCUGAAGAAUACGUUAGCAAUAAUGAAACUCAAGACAAUAGACGGUUACAGUCUUAAGUAGUGGAGUAU
rnacentral:rRNA from 1 species